rnacentral:rRNA from 1 species
UACGGAGGGGGCUAGCGUUGUUCGGAAUUACUGGGCGUAAAGCGCACGUAGGCGGCUUUGUAAGUUAGAGGUGAAAGCCCGGGGCUCAACCCCGGAAUAGCCUUUAAGACUGCAUCGCUUGAACACGGGAGAGGUGAGUGGAAUUCCGAGUGUAGAGGUGAAAUUCGUAGAUAUUCGGAAGAACACCAGUGGCGAAGGCGCUCACUGGACCGUUGUUGACGCCUGAGGUGCGAAAGCGUGGGGAGCAAACAGG